rnacentral:misc_RNA from 1 species
CUUGACGUUGAACAGCUGCUGCUGCAGUAUGUUGGAAUGUGGGUCGAAUUGGUCGACGAUAACAAAUGAACAACAAAUCUAUUUAAUUUUAGGUAUCUUCUAUAUAAUAAUAAUACCCAUUAAUAUUAAAAUGACAUUAAUAAUAAUGGCCGUGGCCCGUGACAUGAUGACAACAACUGAACAACGUCACUUAUCACGCGUCAAGUGUCAACAGGAUUGUUUUAAACAAUAAUCAAUAAUGCGUACCAGUAUCCUGUAUUUAUAUCUGUAAUUUUCCAUCAAGGCCGAAUGUCUUAUGUCCAUCAUAAUAUAUUAAUAAUGGUGGGUCCACCACCACAGUCGUUUUGUCUGGCUAGUCUUCGAACCGCCGCAUCCAAUGGUGUAUGUACAAGGUAGCGAUAGCUAAAUCAACCGUGGACGCGGAGAUGGAAGGUAUUGACGUGGAGUUCACAGACGUGACCCUAACGGUCAACGUGUGGGACCCUCUGGUGACGAAGACGUUAAGGCCUGAAAAGAAAACGGUUUUGAACAAUGUCAGUGGCUUGUUCCGUAGAAAUGAAGUAGGGGCCAUACUAGGAUGUUCUGGAUCUGGAAAGUCAACCCUCAUGAAUAUUUUAUCUGGUUACAUGUCAAGUGGUUACCAAGGAUCUGUAACUUUAAAUGGUGCACGUCGAGAUUUGCUAUCAUUUAGGAAUGUUUCAAGCUACAUCAUGCAAGAGGAUAGUUUGCAAUUGUAUUUGACUGUUCAAGAAUCAAUGGAGAUUGCCAUGAAGCUUAAACAUUCAAUAUCUAAAUUGGAUGUUCAAAAGAGAAUCUCAAUAGACGGUUUACUUCAUAAUUUACUUUUACAUGAUAAACGAGACUCGUUGGUUUAUAAUUUAUCCGGUGGUGAGUGUAGAAGACUGACCAUUGCUUUAGAAUUGGUUCGCAGCCCAAAAGUGAUGUUUUUUGAUGAACCAACAACAGGUCUGGAUAUAGUGUCUGCAAAUAAUGUUGUUAAGAUUAUGAGAAAAUUGGCCGACUCUGGGAAAACGAUAAUAUGCACUAUACAUCAAGCAUCUGCUUCUCAUUUGACAAAUUUUGACACGGUUUAUGCUCUUACACCUUCAGGACAGUGCAUGUAUAAUGGAAAAUCAUCACUAAUAAUUGAUUAUUUCUCAGAUCUUGGAUUUCAAUGUCCUGAGUAUCACAACCCCGCUGAUUAUGUAAUUGAACUGAGUUUGGGUGAAUAUGGAAUACCCAUUGAUACAAUGAUUGAGCUAGCUAGAGAAACAAACAAGAAUGAUCGACACAUAAUUAACCAAAGUGCUAACUCUGUACCUGUAAUUUAUAGUCGAGAAUAUUCUUCAAAAUGUUUUCCUGAGCUUUGUAUACUUAUGCACAGAACUUUGCUAACUACUUUUAGAGAUCAUUUUCUAGUUAAAGUAAGACUUUUUGUCCACUUCUUGCUGGGUAGCAUGUUUGGAAUUGUUUACAUAGGACUUGGGAAGAGCGCUAUGCACGUUCGUGACAAUGCAGUAUUACUAUUUUUCUGUGUAAUGUUUAUGACUUAUGUAGCAGCCUUUACCAUGUCUAUAAAAUUUCCGUUAGAAUUGUCAGUGAUGCGGAAAGAAUAUUUUAAUAGAUGGUAUUCAUUAAGUUCUUAUUACAUUUCUGUCACACUCGUGGAUCUACCAGUACAAAUUUUUUGUACCUUUUUGUUCUGUUCGCUAAUAUACUUGUUAUCUGGUCAACCUUUAAUACUCUUUAGGAUUUCGAUGUUUCUGUUGAUAUUUAUUGUGACUGGACUUAUGUCCCAAGCAAUUGGUAUGCUUGUCAGUACUCUCUGUAAAGGUUUUGUUAUUAAUACCGUUAUAGUUGCAUUAAUAUUAAUGUUUUGGACCACUUAUGCAGGUGGAAUGAUAAGAAUAUCCGAUACCCCUAAAAUAUAUCGAUGGUUAUAUGAUGUAUCAUUUAUGAAACAUUCUGUGCAAGGUGUACUUCAUUCAGUUUAUGGUUAUGAUCGAUCUGUAUUGCCUUGUCCAGUUAUGUUUUGUCCAUUUGGUUCACCAAAAGUAAUGCUUAAAACAAUUGAUAUGGGUGAGAAUUUGUACUGGAUAAAUGUCAGCUUUAUCACUAGUAUUUAUGUUGUAUUGAAAGUAUGUGCUUUUAUCGCUUUAAAGUAUAAGUUGUCUUCUACUUGAAAAAAAUGCCAAACAAAAGAUCUAACGGAAUAUGAGUUACUGAAAAUUCAAGAUGAUUCAAUAGAAUAGAUGGGAAUCUAAUGGCCGCUCUUACAAUUUUUGGUUAAGGGUCUGUUGGCGCUAACCGACUGAUAACAGAGUUUACUAUCGGCAGAAUUAUACCAGUUAAGUGUCCGUUAACUUUAACCGGACAUUGUAAGAACAGCCCUAAAUUUCUACAAAAAUAGAUACUGAUAUGACCAUGAAUAACUAUAAUGUUAAAAUAGCUUUAUUAUUUGAGUUAUAAUAUAAUAUGUACCAGAUUAUGUAUGAUAGCAGUAUUUGAGAUGCAAGGCACUCUUUUUUGACUUUUUAUUGUAUUGUAGUGUACCUAAUAUAUUUAUGGAUCAUAGAUUAUAAUAUAUUCUUUGUUCACACAA